CAUGAACUUCAUGAUAUGUACUGAAUGUCUCCAUUGUGCAAGUCACUGGGCUAAGUCCAAUGGAUAGUAUAACAGUAAAUCCCUGACCUCAAAUAAUUCUGAUCAAGAACCAGCACUGGGAGUGAGCCAACCUUUAAAGAGAUGUUAACACAGCAUACUCCUAACUGGAUUUUUAUCCAAAGCUGCCACUCUCACAACAGUUGACCCAAGAAAAAGUGAAUGAAAACUUUGAUCAUCUCAUGGAAGUCUAUCUAAAGAAAUCUGACCUAUCAGGAACACCAGUAAGAAUGAAGAAGGAAUCCAAACCACCACACAAAUUGGUUGAUCACUUGGCAAAGUGGCCUAUCUGUGAAGAAGCCAGCACCUGUCUAGAGACCAGGUCUAGAAUCCAGGGGUGAAGUGUUUGAGCCACGGAGGCUGACCAUAUGAGAGCAGCUGGGUAGGUAUAAUCCCAUGCCCAAUGGCAAUAGUCAGGUCUAUGUUCUCGAG
rnacentral:lncRNA from 1 species